rnacentral:lncRNA from 1 species
AGCACUUAUGCCAAUGGCUCCAUCUAUUGGAUGUCCGAACUAGUUGAUCCCUUAGUGGAAUUUAACGUGGGAUCUGAGAAGUUUAGGACGAUCAGAGUCCCCAAGUUCAUAGAUUGGGGGCUCCCCACCGCCUAUUUAAUGGAACUGGAUGGGUGCCUAACCAUGGUGCCUCUCUCUAGCCUAGGAGCGCGAAAACAGAAGCUGUGGAAAUUUAAUGAUCAUAAUAAGAAGCGCAGUAAUGGAACAUCGAAUACUACU